UUGUAAACUCCUUUUAGUAGGGGAGUGAAUGCCUGCGUGAAAACGCAGAAUGACAGUACUCUCUGAAUAAGCCACGGCUAACUACGUGC
rnacentral:rRNA from 1 species